AAAAAAUAUAAAAUAUGGUUAAAAAAUUCUCCUACUUAAGACUCCCAGACCCCUAGUUUUCCUCCCUAAAGGCAACUGACAUUACCAGUUUCCUGGGUAUCCAUGCAGGGAUAUUUUAUGCAUAAACAACCAAAUCUCUAUACAUGUCCAUAGAGAGAGGCAGACGUAUCUGCAUGUGCAUAAACACUCGUGUGUGUGUCCUUUUAUCCCAAAGGAAACACUUCUUUUUCCCUUGACAAAGGACAUCCUCUGCAUCUAGCUUCUAGAAAGUGCUGCCAAUUUGGGGACCAAGGGAGGGAGGCUGCAGAGGAACAUCGUUUGGUCAAAUGUGAAAUGUGAUCAGGAAGCCGGUGCUCAGCAAACUUAUCUGAAGCUCUUGGGGACCCCACAAAGAUGAGCGGGUCCCCUUCCCAAUUUUCGGACCGUCUUGGCAGAGGCUCCCUGUCAUCAAGGACCUGAGGUUGUCACAGCCGGAUGGUGUGGGAGCUGGCACUGCCGGGGCUCCCGCUGCCUGGGACACGUACGGCUGCCCAGUGAUCCUGAGCGCCGACCCCUGAGCACCUCAGUGUCCGUGACUGUGGAGCGGAGCAGGGAAGGGGCUCUGGAAGGGUCUGAAUCUGGUGUGUCCAGUGUGAUCCCUGCACCCAUGCCCGGAGCUGUGCCUGGGACCCUGCCCCAAGCAAAGUAAUAAUCUGAAUGAUAUCCUCAAAGGAGCCUGGCUUGGGCUAACAAGGAAGAACUUCCAACGUGGAGAGCUGUCCUGGCACCAUUUCUUCCUGCUGUAUUAGUUGAAGACCUACUGUGUUCAGGGCCGUGAGCCAGGGCACAACCACCCCUUGGGAGCACACUCUGCCUCAACCCUGGAGUGGCUCCGAAAUGAGUCUUCAGUCCACAAGACUGAGGGUUGCCAAUCCUUCUCGGGCAUCUUGAAGCAGACCAGCCACGUUGCAAGUGCUUGGAGGCCACGGAUGACUGGUGGCUGCUGUUCUGGGAGACAGAAUCCUAUAGCAUCCCCAGUCCUGCAGCACACAGGUGGGACAAUUCCAGCUUGAUGUCUCAGCCAGCGGGUUCCCACGUCCUCCCCGCCUCUCCCAGGCAGAAGACAGAGUGACCCAGGUAACCAGGUAUGGACAGGCGUAUCCCUGGGAGAAUUUUAGCAGGCUGCCCCAGCAGCAGGGUGUGUCUGUAACACCGUGCCCCCUGCCCCUCUCAAAUCCACACAGUGGGCAGCUUACACAGGGACAGAAACCACACUGACUGUCGUUCCUGCCACCUGACUAUUGUCCUGUGGCCCAGGGCUGCCCAGAGCCCCUUCCUGCCCAAGUGGCAGCUGGCCCGCUGGAUCUGCAGGUGGGUCUUGGGGACACUUCUCAUCAGCUCAGCCACGCCGCCCGGGCAGCUCCUCAUGAAAGGCCUGCCUUGUGCGCCUGGGUGUGCCCAGGCCGCCGACGUCACCCGAAGCCCCUUCUCAUAAAUUCCAGCUCCGAGGUUUGCAGUUAUCGGGAGGAAGUUUCCAAUUGCUGGCUCACAUGUGGGAAAAUAUGUAAGCAAGUGAGAGGCCCUUUUGUCUGGGGCUCAGAGGGGGCCAGUAACCAGGAGGGAGGGUGGCCUGUCCCCAGUGGCGGGUGCAGAGGAAGCGGCUGCGCUCAGGUUUAAUGAAGUGCCAUGAAUCAUGACCACCCAUCAGGCGCAGAUGCUAUAAAUCACCUGUGACGGGCUUGGCUUGUUUGUUCUUUCUGAAGCCAAUACAUUGAUCAGGGCAGUGGACACGUGAGAAGGCUCACUGGAGGCUCAGACCCUCAGCGACCUGCCGAGGUGAAAUCAAACCCUCUUCUUUUAACUUGCAGGAAAACAAGGCCAUAAAAAAGGAACUCCUACUAAUGAAACCUCCUAGAUUCCAAGGAGGAAAACGUAGCUCUCAGACCAAGUCCGUUUUCGCCCUUGCAUCUGAAAGGGAGUCCAGGGAAUUGCUAAUUUUGAACUUUCUAUACACCCUUCCUGCCUCUGGAUGUGGCCGCCUGACUCGAAUUCCUUUGCACAAUAAAAUGAGGGGGAAAAAAAUCACAUCACUUCAGCAAAACACAGGCUCGAUUUUUCUUGAUUAGCGGAAAAGUGUGUGCUAUUUAAAAAGACACGUCAUAUAACUUUUUAUUUUUUAGCAUUCCCAAGCAAAA
rnacentral:lncRNA from 1 species